rnacentral:lncRNA from 1 species
CAAAGGACCUAAUAGUUCUAAUAAGGAAUGUGAUUUGAUUUUUUCAGGAAAGAUGUGAGGAACCUAAGGAAUCUACAUAAGAGGAUGCCUCCUCAUUCUGGAAACCUGUCAAAAAAUAAUAAGACAAAGGCUGUUCUUACUGGCUCAACAUGGUCCAGGGAGUCUGCCUGUGGUUAUUGUACCAUCCUGGCUUGUUGACUGGACCUGCAUGCUGCUGUGAGGAUGAGAUGGUUGCCUAGUCUAUUCUACUGUUGCUAUUGCUCCUGCUUUGCCACCCUGGGACUUGUGGUCCCUGUCAGGCAGAAAGUGCAUGUUUUGGUGCCCAAAGAGAAGCAGUGGGUAGAAGCAGUCUCCUCAGAGCCCUACUUGUCAGAGCCAAUGUUUUGUGGACUUGGUGCAAAGUAUUUGGGAGAAUCCUUCCAACCUUAACUUCAGAUGCCUGCUGGGUUGACAUGAAAUAGUUAAAAGGUCUUCCUAGUAGGGAUUUUUCUUCUCAU